AGCUCCAUUAACUGCUGACUUGGCAGUGAGGGAAGAGGAAUCAGAAUAUGAAUGUGGCUGGGAAGGGGAUUUCUGUAAGGUGCCCAGCACCAGCUGCCUCACCUCAUAGCCCAACACCCUGCCCGUGAGCCUGUUCCAUGCGAUGGGCUGCCAGGAGACCUCCACCUCUGCCGCCGAAAUGCUCAGUGCCGAAGUCCCUGCUGGUGCUAUCUGUGGCUCUGGGUCAUGGGAGAAAACAAAGCCAGUGGAAAAAUUGUGGUAUUAAAAGGGUGUUGUCUCAGAAACUUAAAGAGAUUGAAGAAAAAAAGACAAGAUUUUUGGUGGAAGCCUCAGGCAGAGGCUCAAGAACGCUGGUAUGAAUCCCUAGCUUUGCUGCCCGUUUACUGUGGAGCACCAGCAAAAUUGUAAUUUUUCAAAAUUGAUCAUAACCUGUGAUCUGGGACAGAUUUUUAGGGAAGGUCAGCUGCACAGAGUGAUCUGGUCCCUCUAACAGAUGCAGGAUGAAAUCCAGGCUCAGCCCGAGCCAGUGACUGAAAGCCUCUGGAUUUCAGCAGGGCUGUGAUUUCACCCAUAGACUUUUCCCCAUUAGACAGCUUAGGUUAAUUGAGCUAACAAUUACCUCCCAUGUGAUGACCAGCUCGGAACGGCUCCCUCCUCCUCCACUGAUGUUUGUUGGUGCCACCACAGGAACUGGAGAACAAGAGACAUCGGCGCUUGCAGCAACCCCCUGCUGCUGCCUCGUCCACUGCAAGAUUAAAGGGUUUCCUCCCAGAUCCUCUCACAUGCAGCUACUCUGCCUUUCAACACGUAGAACAGUGACUACCUUAUAUAACGGUACAUUUUAAAUGAACUGAAAUUAUGUUUACACAUUUUCAAGUUUCUAAGGCUGAAGCCACAGAUGUAUUUGAUACAUGAGUACCCUGGUUCAAAAAAUUAAUUAAAGAAGCUAGUAGCAUCAAGUAUCUGACAUUAUUAUGCCUCAUCAACUAAUUGGCAAAAUGAUGUUCCAUUCAGACUGUAGCUGCAACACUACUGAUUUACUAAUUAUGCAUUUGUUCAGUAAACAUGUUGUUGGAGCAAUAUAUUAAUUUUUUUUAAUUGGCUGUAUGCUUUGCUUAGGAAAUUCAAAAGUCGUAAUUUUUCUCCUCCCAAGACAGCAAGUGGCCAGAAGUGCAUUGAUUAGAACUUGAUUUCCCCAGCAUUACUCCAGGUGUAUGGCCCCAUAGGUCCAUAGUCAAGGUCAAAUAACAUGCUGGUGCUGCAGGCUGAAGGGGCUUCUCAACUGUCAAAUGGCUCUUGGUGGAGAGGCAAGGAAAAUAACAGUAUUUCCUGUUUCUUGCUCCAUAUUUCAGGAAACAUGCUCACCCCAUUAGCCUAUAAAUAUUUCUACUUCUGGGGAACUGGGUUGUGGUAUAAUGGGGGGGAUUUAAAGAAGUUUUUUUCCUAUUAUAUAAUUUGCCAUAAAUUUACUUGCAAGGAUGAUGUCAUGUUUUUUUCUGUUGCUGGAGGAGCAUGAACAAAAAAAAAAGACAACUCUGUAACUUACAGAUCCCCGAAAUAUAUAUGAGAGCAUUCAUUCUCUUUGCCAUCUCCAGACAUUUGCUACUAUUUCUACAAGUUUCAAGAUUGUUUUUUUGUUCCCUUCAUUCAGCUUCUACUGCCUAAAAGUUGGAUGUGUCAAGACAGGGCUGAAAACAGGGUCAGAAAUGGGCAGGACAGUUAUAUCUCAGAAGUUUUUUUCAGAGAUUUUGGCAAGUUCUGCCAUGACUGCCUGCCCUUCCCUAUGUUUUUCUUCCAGUGUUGGUACAGCUGCAGCAGUAACAAUAAAGGCAAUAGCCCUCCAUGCUCACAGAAAUUUGUGUGAAUCAGCUGUCACUUCUACAUUCAAACUCACAUCUAAAUCUUUAUCUGACUCCAUUCUCUCUAGAAAUGUGGAAAUUUAAAGAUAAUUUUGUUUUGCAGUCAGAAAAGUAAAUGAAAGUACAAAUGGACUAAGCUCUUUUUUUUCUUUUUUUUUUUUUUGAGAGUUUAGCAUAGGUAUUUAGUUUUAUCACUCACAAUCCAUGUCUUUGUGCACAUCAGAGGUAAAUAAUCUAAGACUGAAAAGAACAUUAAAGAAAG